rnacentral:tRNA from 1 species
GCCCAGUUGGUUAAGCGUCCAACUCUUGAUUUUGGUUCAGGUUGUGAUCUCAGUUUGUGAGUUUGAGCCCCACAUUGGGCU